rnacentral:rRNA from 1 species
UCCCAGACUCCUACGGGAGGCAGCAGUGGGGAAUAUUGGGCAAUGGGCGCAAGCCUGACCCAGCAACGCCGCGUGAAGGAAGAAGGCUUUCGGGUUGUAAACCUCUUUUCUGGGGGACGAACAAAUGACGGUACCCCAGGAAUAAGCCACGGCUAACUACGUGCCAGCAGCCGCGGCAAUACGUAGGUGGCAAGCGUUAUCCGGAUUUACUGGGUGUAAAGGGCGUGUAGGCGGGACUGCAAGUCAGAUGUGAAAGCCGCGGGCUCAACCUGGGACCUGCAUUGGAAACUGUAAUUCUGGAGUACUGGAGAGGCAGGCGGAAUUCCUAGUGUAGCGGUGAAAUGCGUAGAUAUUAGGAGGAACGCCAGUGGCGAAGGCGGUCUGCUGGACAGCAACUGACGCUGAGGCUCGAAAGCGUGGGGAGCAAACA